UGGAGAACUGGAAACGGAAAACUCAGAGCGC
rnacentral:piRNA from 1 species